AUUGAACGCUGGCGGCAGGCUUAACACAUGCAAGUCGAGCGGAGAUGAGGUGCUUGCACCUUAUCUUAGCGGCGGACGGGUGAGUAAUGCUUAGGAAUCUGCCUAUUAGUGGGGGACAACAUUCCGAAAGGAAUGCUAAUACCGCAUACGUCCUACGGGAGAAAGCAGGGGAUCUUCGGACCUUGCGCUAAUAGAUGAGCCUAAGUCGGAUUAGCUAGUUGGUGGGGUAAAGGCCUACCAAGGCGACGAUCUGUAGCGGGUCUGAGAGGAUGAUCCGCCACACUGGGACUGAGACACGGCCCGGACGCCUACGGGAGGCAGCAGUGGGGAAUAUUGGACAAUGGGGGGAACCCUGAUCCAGCCAUGCCGCGUGUGUGAAGAAGGCCUUAUGGUUGUAAAGCACUUUAAGCGAGGAGGAGGCUACUGAGACUAAUACUCUUGGAUAGUGGACGUUACUCGCAGAAUAAGCACCGGCUAACUCUGUGCCAGCCGCCGCGGUAA
rnacentral:rRNA from 1 species